GUAGAAAGUAGAAGGGGGUGAGAAGAGGACACACCCCCUUGCUCGGAGGGACUUGGGAGACUUUGAAUUUCCCCUCCCCCCACUUUUCCGCAGAGCUCUUCUUUUGUUGUCAAGUCCUUUUGAUAAAUGGUGGGGCUGGGAGAGCUGGGAGCCAGGAGCCGAUCUGCGCCCUGCGCAGGGGCGGGGGCCCAGCCUGGAGACCGGGUUCGGACCACCGCGCACCCUGAGCUGAACCGGGCACGCUCAGGGGACUUUUCCUUCUGUUUGCCAGCCUAUUUCUUUCCUACCAUCCCAGUCCCCCUUCCCUUCUGUUUCUGUCCACGCGGAUAACGAGAACUUUCUGGGGUGGGGGUGAGUUAUAUAAUUUUCUCGUAAGUAUUCUUUCACAGAGUUUUGAUUUUAUUCCUUGAUUCCUUAGGUUGGCAAAGUUAAUGGGAUGGUAACUCGAUUAAUGGUAAUUUGGAAAGAAGAGCGGCUGGGGCUGGUGUGUGUGUGUGUGUGUGUGUGUGUGUGUGUGUGUGUGUUAAGAACAUUGGCUGUUUGUGAUCCUCCUGCGACAAUUGAGAAAGGUAAAUUUGUGAGACUAUGGCAAGAUCACAGGCACCUUUGUGAAGGUGCCUGAAUGAUCUCUGGAGUAAGAAGUCCAGCUUACGUUUUGGCAGAAUGGCAACCCCAAACUCUGCCGGGUAAGGUCUCUGAAGCUGCUUGCAGCCUGCGGGGUGUUAGUGCCUGCCGGUGUCUCCCACUGUAUGGCUCUAAAGGUGUCACCCUCUGGUCAGCUCCUGUGGUCCUAGCAUAGGAAGCUAGGCCUUGGGCCACCUGCCAUAUUGGCCUCUUUCAUAGGCCUGGAGAGUGAGAGUUGACGCUGUGGACAGAACUGAGGAGAGCAGGAGCAAGCGCGGGCCUAGGGUGUCCUCUUCGCUCCGGGGGUUCAGUUUCUAGGCUCAGUUUGUCUCUUUUCCUCCAAUUCCAGUAGUUUUCUCAUUGCGCUGGGCAGUUCAAGGGAGGCCACCCCAGCUCUUCAAGACUGGUAGAAUCGUGGAAUGGCUCUCGUCCCACGUAGAUUACAUGCGCUCACCGGUGUGCGCCGCCGGGCUCCGUGAGCUCCGACUGCCGCGUUAAAACUCAACUCCGAAGGUCGGAGCGCACGGGGGCGCCUGGGGGUCUGCGUUCCCCGGGCUUUGGGGAGGCACCAGCAUCUGAGCCUGCGCACCUCUCAAGGGAGGCCAAAUCUCUGAAGGCCGAGUAAGCUGUGGAAGUUGGAGGGGGUGUGGGGGGAUAUAUUGUUAUUAAUUACUUCAGGCUAGGCCUAAUGCUUCCAACCCUCAGAGGUGGUUGGCAUGGACGUCCUGCGGAUUUUAUUUGCACACAAUGGACAUGAUUUGUUUUC
rnacentral:lncRNA from 1 species